rnacentral:rRNA from 1 species
GACGAACGCUGGCGGCGUGCUUAACACAUGCAAGUCGAGCGGAGCGGCGAACGGGUGAGUAACGCGUGAGUAACUGCACCCCUCUCUGGGAUAACAGUUGGAAACGGCUGCUAAUACCGGAUAGUGGGGGCUGACUCGCGUCCUAUCAGCUUGUGGGUGGGGUUGUGGCCUACCAAGGCGACGACGGGUAGUCGGCCUGAGAGGGCGACCGGCCACCUUGGGCUGCGAUACGGCGCAGUCGCGUACGGUGGGCAGCAGUGGGGACUAUUGUGCAAUGGGGGAAACCGUGUGGCAGAAACGCCGCGGGCGGAAUGACGUCCUUGGGGUUGUAAACCGCUUUAGGCCAAGACGCGGUAGUGGCAGAAGAAGCACCGGCUAACUACGUGCCAGCAGCCGCGGUAAUUC